rnacentral:rRNA from 1 species
CUAUACUGCAGUCGAGCGGACAGAUGGGAGCUUGCUCCCUGAUGUUAGCGGCGGACGGGUGAGUAACACGUGGGUAACCUGCCUGUAAGACUGGGAUAACUCCGGGAAACCGGGGCUAAUACCGGAUGGUUGUCUGAACCGCAUGGUUCAGACAUAAAAGGUGGCUUCGGCUACCACUUACAGAUGGACCCGCGGCGCAUUAGCUAGUUGGUGAGGUAACGGCUCACCAAGGCGACGAUGCGUAGCCGACCUGAGAGGGUGAUCGGCCACACUGGGACUGAGACACGGCCCAGACUCCUACGGGAGGCAGCAGUAGGGAAUCUUCCGCAAUGGACGAAAGUCUGACGGAGCAACGCCGCGUGAGUGAUGAAGGUUUUCGGAUCGUAAAGCUCUGUUGUUAGGGAAGAACAAGUGCCGUUCAAAUAGGGCGGCACCUUGACGGUACCUAACCAGAAAGCCACGGCUAACUACGUGCCAGCAGCCGCGGUAAUACGUAGGUGGCAAGCGUUGUCCGGAAUUAUUGGGCGUAAAGGGCUCGCAGGCGGUUUCUUAAGUCUGAUGUGAAAGCCCCCGGCUCAACCGGGGAGGGUCAUUGGAAACUGGGGAACUUGAGUGCAGAAGAGGAGAGUGGAAUUCCACGUGUAGCGGUGAAAUGCGUAAAGAUGUGGAGGAACACCAGUGGCGAAGGCGACUCUCUGGUCUGUAACUGACGCUGAGGAGCGAAAGCGUGGGGAGCGAACAGGAUUAGAUACCCUGGUAGUCCACGCCGUAAACGAUGAGUGCUAAGUGUUAGGGGGUUUCCGCCCCUUAGUGCUGCAGCUAACGCAUUAAGCACUCCGCCUGGGGAGUACGGUCGCAAGACUGAAACUCAAAGGAAUUGACGGGGGCCAGCACAAGCGGGGGACAUGUGGUUUAAUUCGAAGCACGCGAAA